GACGAACGCUGGCGGCGUGCUUAACACAUGCAAGUCGAACGGAAAGGCCUGCUUUCCCUUGUGGAUUGCGGGUACUCGAGUGGCGAACGGGUGAGUAACACGUGAGUGAUCUGCCCCCAACUUGGGUAUAAGCCUGGGAAACUGGGUCUAAUUCCCGAUAGGACUGCAGGGUGGUGCCUGUGGUGGAAAACGAUUUUCUAGUGGUUGGGGAUGAGCUCGCGGCCUAUCAGCUUGUUGGUGGGGUAAUGGCCUACCAAGGCGGCGACGGGUAGCCGGCCUGGGGGAGUGGGCGGGCACAUUGGGACUGAGAUACGGCCCAGACUCCUACGGGCAGCAGCAGUGGGGAAUAAUGCACAAUGGGCGGAAGCCUGAUGCAGCGACGCCGCGUGGGGGAUGACGGCCUUCGGGUUGUAAACUCCUUUCGACCGAGAGGAAGCCACCUGGUUGGAAGGGUGGUGACGGUAGUGGUAGAAGAAGCACCGGCUAACUACGUG
rnacentral:rRNA from 1 species